AAGUCGUAACUAGGUUUCCGUAGGUGAACCUGCGGAAGGAUCAUUAUCGUGGAGCUUCGGCCCUCUCGAGAUAGAACCCUUGCCUUUUUGAGUACCUUCGUUUCCCCGGCAGGCUCGCCUGCCAAUGGGGACCCCAAUAAACCCUUUGUAAUACCUGUAAUCGUCUGACAAAACAAACAAAAUUAGAA
rnacentral:misc_RNA from 1 species